CUGGCGGCGCGCCUAACACAUGCAAGUCGAACGGUUCUGAUUGCGAGACUAAGCUAAUUGGUGGUUCAUAUUGGCGUUGGUCUUGUAAUCAGGAUAGUGGCGGACGGGUGAGUAACACGUGAGCAACCUGCCUAACGGAAUGGGAUAGCGUUUGGAAAUGAACGGUAAUACCGUAUAACAUAUGCAAUGCGCAUGCACAGCAUAUCAAAGGAGCAAUCCGCCGUUAGAUGGGCUCGCGGCCAAUUAGGUAGUUGGCGGGGUAACGGCCCACCGAGCCGACGAUUGGUAGCUGGACUGAGAGGUUGAUCGGCCACAUUGGGACUGAGACACGGCCCAGACUCCUACGGGAGGCAGCAGUGGGGGAUAUUGCACAAUGGAGGAAACUUCUGAUGCAGCGACGCCGCGUGAGGGAAGACGGUCUUCGGAUUGUAAACCUCUGUCUUAGGGGAAGAGUAAAAGACGGUACCCUAGGAGGAAGCCACGGCUAACUACGUGCCAGCCGCUGC
rnacentral:rRNA from 1 species